rnacentral:rRNA from 1 species
CAACUUGAGAGUUUGAUCCUGGCUCAGAACGAACGCUGGCGGCAGGCCUAACACAUGCAAGUCGAACGCUCGUAGCAAUACGGGAGUGGCAGACGGGUGCGUAACGCGUGGGAACAUACCCUUUGGUUCGGAAUAACUCAGGGAAACUUGAGCUAAUACCGGAUACGCCCGAGAGGGGAAAGAUUUAUUGCCGAAGGAUUGGCCCGCGUCUGAUUAGCUUGUUGGUAGGGUAACGGCCUACCAAGGCGACGAUCAGUAGCUGGUCUGAGAGGAUGAUCAGCCACACUGGGACUGAGA